UCUGCGUUUUGCGCAGCAGUCUCGCUAGAAACAUACAACUAGCGACGAGGGUUGCGCUCGUUGCGGGACUUAACCCAACACCUCACGGCACGAGCUGACGACGGCCAUGCAACACCUGUGCACGAGCCCCGAAGGGCUGCCGUAUCUCUACGACAUUCCCGUGCAUGUCAAGCCCUGGUAAGGUUCUUCGCGUUGCGUCGAAUUAAACCACAUGCUCCACCGCUUGUGCGGGCCCCCGUCAAUUCCUUUGAGUUUCAACCUUGCGGCCGUACUUCCCAGGCGGAAUACUUAAUGCGUUAGCUGCGGCACCGGCGGUAACCCGCCGACACUUAGUAUUCAUAGUUUAAGGCGUGGACUAC
rnacentral:misc_RNA from 1 species